ACGGGAGGCAGCAGUGGGGAAUACUGCACAAUGGGGGAAACCCUGAUGCAGCGACGCCGCGUGAACGAUGAAGUAUUUCGGUAUGUAAAGUUCUAUCAGCAGGGAAGAUAAUGACGGUACCUGACUAAGAAGCACCGGCUAAUACGUGCCAGCAGCCGCGGUAAUACGUAUGGUGCAAGCGUUAUCCGGAUUUACUGGGUGUAAAGGGUGCGUAGGCGGCAUGGUAAGUCAGAAGUGAAAACCCGGGGCUCAACCCCGUGACUGCUUUUGAAACUAUCAAGCUAGAGUACAGGAGAGGAAAGCGGAAUUCCUAGUGUAGCGGUGAAAUGCGUAGAUAUUAGGAGGAACACCAGUGGCGAAGGCGGCUUUCUGGACUGUAACUGACGCUCAGGCACGAAAGCGUGGGGAGCAAACAGGAUUAGAUACCCUGGUA
rnacentral:rRNA from 1 species